GGGUUUCAGGGUUAGAUCUUGAAAAAGAGGGUUAGAUCUUGAAACUUUUUCAAGAUCAUACAGCGGAAGACUAAAAUAAAUCAAAAUUUAUUUUUUAAGAUUAGAAAAUCCCUAGAUCUAAGAUCCUAUUACAUGAUUAUUACAUGGUAUUAAAUCAAAAAUUAAAAUAUAUAAAUAUAGCAUGAACUACAUGUUCAUCAUAUCAACAUGUUUCUAUACUACAUCUAAUGUAUGUAUUAAACAAUAGAUCAGAUCUAUUACCUUGCAAGUUAGACGUUCUAACCUUGCUGAUCUGGGCUUGAGGAUGAUGUUGCAAGCCGCACACACAUCCGGCCUCUAAGAGUCAUCCACACGAGCCCACGAAUUUUGAUCAGAAGUCCUGCUUCAGGAAAUCAGCACAGUAUGCUAGUACUGCGCUGAUCCUUCUUUGAUGGUUGAUCAGGUGCCUCCUUCUUCUUGAUUUGGACUCUUCCAAAGAUGGAAAGUAGAAGGAGGAGUUUCAGAUCUGAGACACUCUCAGAAAACUCAAGAUGGAGGGAGGAAAGAUAUGAAAAUAAAAACCCUAGUAGAAGACCCUCUUCUUCUUCACGUUUUUCUCUCUAGACACCCAAACUUGUGUCUUUUAUAUCUCC
rnacentral:lncRNA from 1 species